GCACUGAUAUCCUUUACCUUUUCCCCUCAUGUUCCCACUGUUCCCAUAAAACACAUUUCUGAUCUUACGGGUCUUAUUCACUUUUUUUUUUUUUUUUUUUUUUUUUUUUUUUUCCAGCUUUACAGCCCAGUUCAGAGAGCUUUGACUGUAGUCUUGUUGUUCAUGGACCAUGUACACCUGGCUGAGGAGAGAAAACCUGAAGUACUGACCCAACAGCAGAAUGGGGGGAGAGGAAAAUUCACAUAGAGGUGAUCUGCAGAUGAGCUUUUUCUAUGAACAGCAACAGUAAAAAAUUAAUUUACUAUGACAGUAAAUUAAUGUCAGUCUAUCUCUUGUCUGGGAAGAGCAGCUGGAAAUUUUCUUUGUACAUUCAUUGUAAGCUGCAGCUACACAAGAAGACCAACUGGAGUAAAAAGAAAUGUGAGAUAUCAUUAUGUUGAUGUUUACCCUGUUUACUGUUUACGUAUAGAUUUUUAGAAGUUUAUUCAUGUCAGAUUUAUUUUUAUCAGUGAAAUUCAUCACAUACUAGUUGUAUGAUCUUGAAAUGAUUCCUGCUCUCCGUUAUAAGAACCACACUGGACAGAGACUAUAAUCCUUGACUGGCCAAAACUGAAUCAAUAUUUCUUCAGCUUUUCUAAAUUUUCAAAUCCAAUGAAACCCUUACAAUAAUCCAAUAUCAAAGAAACUAUUUGUAGUUGUUUUUCAGUAGAUAUAAAGGUAGGUGUAAACUGACAGAGAAAGGCCAAUAUAGCUUAUAUGUAGAGCUAGAACAUUUCUGAGGAGAAAAUAAGGAAUUUGAAAAAUUUACAGUUCCUGUGGCCAGCAACUGAACUUGUUUUUUUGCUAUCUUGGUUUUUCAAUGGUUGCCUGAAAUACAUGCUUUAUAUCUGGUUUGUGUGCUUCUUCAUGUAUUUAUGUUACUACGCAGAUUUUGGGGACAAGGGUUCCUCUCUGUAUGUGCAAAUUAUGUGUUCCUUUCAGGUUGUAAUUGGGACCUUGGCUUCUAUUGUGGAACACUGUGUGCUUUGUAACUUUUUCUAAUGCUUGGGUUUUUCUAUUUUACACUGAUUGUAACUUGUGUAAGACUGUUAUUCAUAGCCCAAGUAGAAUGUAGAUCAUUCAAAAUACCUGCCAUCUUGAUGAUGUAAUUGUUCAGCUGAAGAAGCGUUACUCAUGGCAUUACAUACAGACAGAGGUCUAUAGCAUCUCAAAGGUUUUGACAGGGCAUAUUCCCAGACUGUUACUGAAGUGGAUGCAGGUGCUUUCUGCACUCCUUUUGAGCUCAUAGAAAAACAUUAUGAGUGAACAAAGAUAGCAGUCAAAUCUCUGUCAGCACAACAGACCUAGAAAAACAGCUGUACAUUUUCCUUUCCUUUCCUUUCCUUUCCUUUCCUUUCCUUUCCUUUCCUUUCCUUUCCUUUCCUUUCCUUUCCUUUCCUUUCNUUUCCUUUCCUUUCCUUUCCUUUCCUUUCCUUUCCUUUCCUUUCCUUUCCUUUCCUUUCCUUUCCUUUCCUUUCCUUUCCUUUCCUUUCCUUUCCUUCCUUCCUUUUUUAUUUUUAUGUAUUUUAUUUUCUUUUUUUUCUGUGAAGCAAAGAAAGGAAAGGAAAGGAUGCUAAGAACACCAGGACACUAGUCUUGAGCACAUAUAUGAAGGGGUAGAAGAGCUGGACUCAAAUUUUCAGGGAUUUGGAAAGCUUUGUGUAAAGAUGCAAAGUGUGUCUUUGGGAAUAUGAAGGAAAACUUGCUGGUGUAGAUUUAGCUGAAGUAUGUAUUAAUAAGCUGAAAGUAAUUCUGAAGCAGGCAGAAAUUGAUGGUAUUUUGAGAUUUUAACUCCUGUAUAAUUGAAAAUACAGAUGGUCAGUACAGGAAUUAUCACAAUGCCAAGACUACCACUUGGAAUGCUGGGGGAGCAGCGGUAAUUCAGUUGUUCUGAAGAUCAGAAAAGUAAAAGAAAGGAAAUGAGAUUUUGCCUACAGUCAUUUAAUUAUCUAUGAUCAUAAAUAUGUCUGAAAUGCCAUACUUAAAAACACCGUCUAGAAUUAGAAAUAAUAAUAUGAUAAUCAAAAAUUUCCCUGAAAUUCCACCUCCAUUUAAAUAUAUUUACCCAACCCUAAAAUAGCAGCUCUGAUAUUUUACAUCGACUGAAGUAAUUUGGUUCAUUCAUUGAACACGAAUUGUAAUUACAGAACUUCCCCACAACCACCCCCACCACAUCCCAUUUGUUGGUAAGAGCCAGGAUGAAAUGUAUAAUGUGGUAUUAUUUUUAACUCUUUUAAUCUACACGGCUUGUGUAUGUUUGCAAGCAUGCAUGUUCACAUUUAUAUGGAUUUAUUGAUCUACAAAAGUAAAUGUGUCCUACUAAUAUUUUGAAGCAUUCUACCAAAAUGCAACUGUGAUAGCAGCAAUUCUCUUAUGAAAUGAAGCAUGCAAGAUAUUUUUAAUGUGGGGUGUAAUGGAUGGACUGUAAAGUUUUUGAACUGUAGGCAGGGAACCGACUAGCUCUACAAAAACCUCAUUUUUCAGUUUGUAUCCAGAUGUCACAGUGGGCACUGAAAUUUCUCCUUGGAGUAUUCCCUAAACUUGUCUGUUUGCUGUCUAAUCCCAGAGGUUUACAAUAUUAGUAUAAAUCAAAGCUAAGACCCAUAUUUUUUCCUAAGAUUCUAACAGCUGUAUCAAGUCAGAGAGCUGUGCUCUUUAACUGGGCUUAGAAAGAAGUUAGUUACAUAACCUCAAAACAUUUUGAAAUGUCCUGCUCAUCUAAAUUCCCCUACCAUCUCCCUUUCUAAUUUAAAGUUUCCUAGAUGCCUUAUGUUUCACUUCUUUUCAUCCACAGCAUGCCACAACUUCAGCAGAGCAGAGACGUUUAAAACCAAGCAGAUAUUCCAGUGUACUGGAACAAAGAGCUAGGUGUCUGCCACAGGAGAGCUCGACACUAAAGGUAUUCACAGAGUACACCUAACUUGAAUCAAAAGGAUAACAACAUGCUAUCAUCAAAUAAGUGUUGUAGCAAGCAGUUCAUUCUAGAAGACAAUAGCAGAACUAUGGACAGAGGGUAGGAGGAUAUAGUUAUUAUACAGGAGGAAAGACAAUGGGACUCCUGUCUCAGCUCCCAGAAUAGUCUGUGCAUUUCUAAUUGAAUUACUAGAUGAAGAAGUGAGGCAGUGAUGGGUCAUCAGCUUCAUAGGAGAGCAGCUUCUGGUUUUUGUUUUCACUGUGUGUUUUUGUUUUUACAAUGUUGUUUUCCCCACCACUGGACAAUGUUUAUGAGUAAAUAGCAAUCAUGAUCAGCCUGUACCUUCAAUAGCAAUGCAUAUAGAAUAGCACUGCUCCAAGGUGCUUCUUCAUGCUAAGUGAAAGAAACAAGUAUGAAUAACCCUUCUCCUUUCAUGCAGAAAAACAAGGCUUUGUGGCUAAAAGUUGAAUUAAAAGUGUGGUUGCAUACAGUACUCUGAAUAAAUAACAUCUAAUUACUGAAUCUUGGAGGCUU
ensembl:lncRNA